GCUCAGUUGGUUAAGAGUAUGACUCUUGAUCUCAGCUCAGGUCUUGAUCUGAAGAUUGUGAGUUCAAGCCCCACAUUGGGCU
rnacentral:tRNA from 1 species